GUGGGGAAUCUUGCGCAAUGGGCGAAAGCCUGACGCAGCCAUGCCGCGUGAAUGAUGAAGGUCUUAGGAUUGUAAAAUUCUUUCGCCGGGGACGAUAAUGACGGUACCCGGAGAAGAAGCUCCGGCUAACUUCGUGCCAGCAGCCGCGGUAAUACGAAGGGGGCUAGCGUUGCUCGGAAUUACUUGGCGUAAAGGGCGCGUAGGCGGACAGCUUAGUCAGAGGUGAAAGCCCAGGGCUCAACCUUGGAAUUGCCUUUGAUACUGGCUGUCUUGAGUACGGGAGAGGUGAGUGGAACUCCGAGUGUAGAGGUGAAAUUCGUAGAUAUUCGGAAGAACACCAGUGGCGAAGGCGACUCACUGGCCCGUUACUGACGCUAAGGCGCGAAAGCGUGGGGAGCAAACAGGAUUAGAAACCCCAGUAGUCC
rnacentral:rRNA from 1 species